CUCUCCAUAGUCUAGUUGGUUUAUGGCGUCUGACUGUAAUUGUGCUAACAAGCAACUUGUCCAUCAGAAGGUCACCGGCUCGAUUCCGGUUGGAGAGA